rnacentral:lncRNA from 1 species
UGAGCCCAGAUUACAACACUGCCCUCCAGCCUGGGCGACAGAGCAAGACUCCAUCUCAAAAAUAAUAAUAAUAAUAAAGUAAAGCUGAGGAAGGAAUUCAGGNNNNNNNNNNNNNNNNNNNNNNNNNGAAAACUCCUCAGAAGAACUUGUUUCCCAGCUCGAACCACAGCGCAGCCCGGAGCACUGCUGGAGAGGAAGAAGGAAGAUGGACAGUGGGUGGCCGCCCUGGGUGCCGAGCUCUUCAUGCCAGGGCUGGCGGGGCUGCAUGCCCUUGGCCUGCUGCAGCAGUGAGCCCAGCUCUGGACCAACUCCCUGAGGAUGCAGUACAGCCUCCUGGGUAAGGCACUGCGUGCCUGGUGGCGGGGCAGGUGGAGGUGGCAGGGUCUGCCCUGUUUCCUGCAGCUGUGGCUCUGCAAGGUUCAGCUCUGGCACGAGGAGGACUCGGGCCACCUGCACUCACAGCUGGAGGUGAACUACAGGAAGCACUGGGAUGAGAGCAGCAACAACAGGCAUCUCCGUGUCAGCCAGACCUUCAAGAAUGACUCGGAGCCCACCCUGAGCAAUCACUUGGUGGAGGUCUUCGUGGACAUUCACAAUGACAGCUCAGGCUCUGAGCAUUCUGGACACAACCUGAUGGGACCCACAUCUCUCAGUUACUCUGUGAGCUGCUGUUACCAUGACGAGCACCUGGAGCUCUCCGGCCAGAGCUGGCACAACAGUGAGGUUUUGUUGUGGGCAGGGUUCCCAGGCGAGGCCUCCCUGCGCACAGAACUGCAGAUACAUGGUAAGGCACCCAGCGCAGAGCCCCAGGGCUGGUGCUGGCUUCCUCCAUGCCUGGGCCAGCCUAGCAGCCCUGGACCCAGGUGGCACCCCAUCAAGCCCAGUGUGGCCCUGGGCUCUGGGACAACUGGGACAGCCUUGUCCAUCGAUGGCCUCACUCCCAAGGCAGGCGGAUUCAUUUCCUAGGACUUCCACAACCAAGUUCCACACACUGGAUGGCUUAAAACACAGACAUCGUAGCCAGAUGUGGUGGCAUGUAUAUGUGGUCCCAGGUACUCAGGAGGCUGAAGCAGGAAAAUCACUUGAGCCAGAAGGUCGAGGCUGCAGUGAGCUAUGAUUGCAACACUGUGCUCCAGCCUGGAUGACAGAAUGAGACCCUGUCUCAAAAUAAAAACAACAUAAUCCACAGUGGACUGAGGGCCCAUCUGGCUUGAAUAUGAC